AUACAUACACAGUCAGCUGUGGCAUUCUCCCUUCCAAACGAUGAAAGAACAUAUUCUUAUUUAUUGGCAAAGCUGUCACCAUUUAAUUGGUAUCAGAUUCUACUUACACAAGUAACAUUC
rnacentral:snoRNA from 1 species